CCAAUCAUUCUUUCUUGAUAAUUAGCUGAGUCAGCUUGGCAAAAAUCAACAGUUGCUAACAGGUGUUAAUCAUUUGAGUCCUAACUAAAAGGAACAUGCUCUACAGCUGGGGCUCUACACUUAGCCAAACAAGCUACUAAAAUAGAGAAAUUUAAAAUGAUAGACUCAAUUUCUCUACAGGGACCCUGGAAGGGAUCCUCUAACUACUGCAGGAGUCCACCGCA